UACAGAGGGGGCAAGCGUUAUUCGGAAUUACUGGGCGUAAAGGGCCAGUAGGCGGCCAACUAAGUCCGACGUGAAAUCCCCAGGCUUAACCUGGGAACUGCGUCGGAUACUGGAUGGCUUGAAUUCGGGAGAGGGAUGCAGAAUUCCAGGUGUAGCGGUGAAAUGCGUAGAUAUCUGGAGGAACACCGGUGGCGAAGGCGGCCUGCUGGGCUCGUUGCUGACACUGAGGCGCGACAGCGUGGGGAGCAAAGCA
rnacentral:rRNA from 1 species